AGAGCUAUCGAGUCCGUCAGACAGACACAGAGACAGACGGUCUACCUGGUCAUGGAUCACCUGCUGAUGGUGUUGGUGUUGCUGUGCAGCUCAGGACUCCAGGCUGAAGAUGAUCACCAAUCAGAUCCUGUCAGGUUGGUGGGAGGAGCCAGUCGCUGUGCAGGUACACUGGAGAUGAAAAAGGGAG